UACGUAGGUGGCAAGCGUUGUCCGGAUUUACUGGGCGUAAAGGGCGUGCAGGCGGUUUGUUAAGUUCAGGGUGAAAGCUCCCGGCUCAACUGGGAGAGGUCCUUGGAUACUGGCAGACUUGAGGAGGGUAGAGGAGAGUGGAAUUCCCGGUGUAGUGGUGAUAUGCGUAGAUAUCGGGAGGAACACCAGUGGCGAAGGCGGCUCUCUGGGGCCCUACCUGACGCUGAGACGCGAAAGCGUGGGGAGCGAACCGG
rnacentral:rRNA from 1 species